UACGGAGGGUGCGAGCGUUGUCCGGAAUCAUUGGGCGUAAAGGGCGCGUAGGUGGCCCGGUGAGUCUUUGGUGAAAGCGCGGGGCUCAACCCUGCGUCGGCCAGGGGAUACUGCCGCGGCUCGAGCACUGUAGAGGCAGGCGGAAUUCCGGGUGUAGCGGUGGAAUGCGUAGAGAUCCGGAAGAACACCGGUGGCGAAGGCGGCCUGCUGGCA
rnacentral:rRNA from 1 species